CACGUAGGGUGCGAGCGUUGUCCGGAAUUAUUGGGCGUAAAGAGCUCGUAGGCGGUGUGUCGCGUCGGCCGUGAAAACCUGCAGCUUAACUGUGGGCUUGCGGUCGAUACGGGCAUCACUGGAGUUCGGCAGGGGAGACUGGAAUUCCUGGUGUAGCGGUGAAAUGCGCAGAGUAUCAGGAGGAACACCGGUGGGCGAAGGCGGG
rnacentral:rRNA from 1 species